UACGGGGGGAGCAAGCGUUGUUCGGAUUUACUGGGCGUAAAGGGCGCGUAGGCGGUCAGCACAAGUCAGUUGUGAAAUCUCCGGGCUUAACCCGGAAAGGUCAACUGAUACUGUGCGACUAGAGUGCGGAAGGGGCAACUGGAAUUCUUGGUGUAGCGGUGAAAUGCGUAGAUAUCGAGAGGAACACCUGCGGCGAAGGCGGGUUGCUGGGCUGACACUGACGCUGAGGCGCGAAAGCUAGGGGAGCGAACGGGG
rnacentral:rRNA from 1 species